UUACCGCUCAAGCGAUGGAAAGUUCACUCGAGUGGUCCCUUUGUAUUUUGGCACUUCGCUUGAGCGAUGGAAAGUUCGCUCGAGCGGUUUGGUCGGGGUAGCAGGGUUAUAUUGUGAUCCAAACACUUGUCUAACUCAUUUCUCUCACACGGCCCUAUUUCCAAAACCCUAGCUAAAACACCCUAGAUUUCAUCUAGUAAGAACAAGAAUCGAUCUUUGGACCUUCAUUAAAAUUGUUAUCCUCGUCAAGAACUACGUUUUGAACCGAUUAGAUCGUGAUAUCUUGGAAGCUCAUAGUGUGGACCUUCAUCUCUCUUUGUGCAACCUUGAGGUAGGAAUAUUUUUACUUUUCUAUAUUUAUAUUUUGGCUUAAAUGUGUGUGAAUCUUAAGAUGGGUGGAACUAUUGAGAUGGAUGUGGUAUAUGCAUAUAUAUAUAUAUGGGCUUUGUGUUGAUGAAGUGUUUGUGUGAAAUUGAUGGUGGGUUGUGGAAUCAACUAUGAAAUAGUGAGUAAAUAGACUUGAAUCGAGGAAAAUAAAUAGUUAAAAGGAAAAGCCCCAAAUUUUCAUAUGUAACCCUAAGGGUUGUUUUUUAUUUGGACUUAAUGGAUAAUGGAUAAGUAAAAUUGGGAAGUCCUUGUGAUUAUUUGUGUUGUGUUUAAAAUGUUAAUGUUUUGGAAUGUGUUUGAGGUGCCCACAUGCCAGGUUCAUGUGAGGAUGACGAAUGUGGGAAUGUGUUUGAGGUGCCCACUUGCCUGAUUCGCGUGAGUGUGACGAAUGUGGGGAUGUUGUGAGGUGUCCACUAGCCGGUUCAAGUGAAGAUGACAAAAGUGGAAGGUUUGAGAUGUUCACUGGCCAUUCGUGUGAGGACGAAAAAAUAUGGAGACUGAAUGGUAAAUUGUGUGCUGUGUAAUAAUUUCUAAACCAAUGGAAAUUCAUGGGCAUCAAUAAAGGAAAUGAAGAGCCCCACAACCAUCAAUGAAGAAGAAAACGACUACCUUUUUUCAAAAAUCUAAACUUUUGUGAACUUGAGGUUGUAAACUCCUUUUCUACUUUUAUUUUGAAUUUUGUAUUUUUGUAUUAAAUGUCACAAUGUAAUUAGUAACUCAGAGGACAAUGUAAUUGUUUUGUAAUCUUCUCCAACUCAUUGAACUGAGAUAAGUAUUUUGUAAUUUUGUAAACAAAAUUUGUAGUUUAAUGAAAAAGAGAAACAUUUGCAUGGGAUUGUGUCAUGUUUUUAUGUAGAGGAUGUUCUUUUAAUUGUUUAAUGGGAA